CCUCCCCUUUUUUACCCAACAUGUCUAUUUGGAGUUUUAAGAAGUCUGGCCUGCCCACUGAUAGAAAAUUUUUAAGGGCCGCGGUAUUAUGACCGUGCUAAGGUAGCAUAAUCAUUAGGUUUUUAAAUGAGAUCUUGUAUGAAUGGUUGAACAAAGAAAAAACUGUCUUUAAUAAUAAAAUUUGAAUUUUACUUUUAAGUGAGAAGGCUUAAAUAAUUUAAGGGGACGAUAAGACCCUAUAAAACUUUACAUUGAAAUUAUAUUUGGUUGAAUUUUAAAGUAAUAAAGAUCUAAAAUAAAGAUUGUUGUGUUGGGGCGACAAAAGUAGAAAUUAUAGUAGCUGCUUGAAAAAUAAUCACUUUUAAGUGAUAAAAGUUAUAGAUCUUAGUUAUAAAUUUAAAGAUUAAGUUACUUUAGGGAUAACAGUGUAAUUUUUUUUGAGAGUUCAUAUCGAAAAAAAAGUUUGUAACCUCGAUGUUGAAUUAAAAUAUCUAUAUAAUGAAGCAGUUGUAUAAGAGGGUCUGUUCGACCUUUAAUUUUUUACAUGAUUUGAGUUCAAAUCGGCGUGAGCCAGGUGGUUUUCCAAUCUAAAAACC
rnacentral:rRNA from 1 species